AUAGGGAAUCAGUGAGAUUGAACAGGUCUAAAAAUGGGUCGCCCUAGUAUGGCUAAGACAAGGAGUUGUAAUUCUCGCGAACAGUAAGCAAGUCUUGGAAUGACUCUUUGUAUGAUGCCGAAGGCCGCAAUAUCGGAGACUUGCACUAUUGUGCUCAAUUUGCCGACACUCGUCGAGUGCCGCUAAGUGGAUGCAAUCAGAGUGAACCAGGGCACGCCUCGGCAAUACAGUCAUUAAUGCACUGAAUGGUCUAACGAUGCGAUAAGGUGGCACGCAUCGGCAAUACAGUCAUUAAUGCACUGAAUGGUCUAACGAUGCGAUAAGGGCUCUGCUUUUGGUUUAGUUUGGCCUUAUUCAGAUAUAACCACGAGAUAAAGCCCCAAAAACUAAGUACCAACAAUGACUAGUCAAAUUCAAUCGUUCAAAUACCAAAAGAUCUCAAUGGCUUUUUUGCUGACUCGACUAGAAUGACUAGAAGUUAGGAUGGCCAAGACGUCUGACAACAAAACAAGUGCUAAAUUCUUUUGCUCUGAUGAAAGACGCUUGAUACUUCAGCGAAACGACUUUCUCAGAGAGGCGUACAACAUAUAACUCAUCCAAUGAGUCUAGGUUCUUUUUACCAAACCCUGACUCGAUUUAUCUCCAAACGUCUCAAGAUUUUUGCUCCGAUAGGCUAACAUUCAAAAAUACAUUAAAAAACUUUACCCCCGCAUAGAUUUAUUUGCCCACGAGUUCGUAGGCGGUAACUCGGGUUGUUGUUCUAAUAUCUUAUGCAAAGCAUACUCAUUAUAAAAGGGGCAAGUCCCUCAUUUAUCGCAUUAUGAUCUCAGAGUAGAAGCAUCCUAACUAAGGGUGUGUGACGGUGAAGCGUGUUUUGAAUUCCUGCGUGAGACCACCUUGAUUGUGUUACUGCAAUAGCCGUAUUAUCACAUGUCCUUUGGAUAUUCAAUAGAUUCGAGGUCGGCUCGGCGUUGAGCGUUAGCGGGGUAAAUAUGAACAUAGGCAGUCAUAUGGAUAUAGUUCGCUUUUGAAUGUGAGCAUUCGUAAAACAAGUCGGACAAGUUGAGCCCUUGAAUGACGGUAUGAAAUGUGAAAGUAUACGUCGAGUAUAUCACAACUUGGUAAUUAUGGGCGUCAUCGUUCAUGUGUGUGCUUUUUAUUAGCUACGGAAAAACUUUCGAGUUUGAUUCCGCCGAAAACCCUCACCACUUUAUAGAUAAACCCACGGCAACAGACGGUAAAAAAAAGGACGGACCACUAGAAAUUGGAUGGGGUGCGGGUUUCUGGUGGCGUCGAAAAUUUCAUGGGUGAGUUUGCGCAAGAUAUAUAUAUUUCGUGAGUAUGCGUGCAUUGGUCUGCUUGUUAUUAUUAACUUUUUUCUGGUAAUCCUGCACCCCCCAUUGCGCUAUUGUAACAUUGACGUCAUAGGCACGUCUUGGCGGCACAGUUAUUCGCAGGUUGCAUGCAACGAUAACAUGUCCUUUAGUGAACGUCGCUAAGCAGAGGACUAGCACUAGCUUGUAUGAGCGUUUUUAUACGGCUCUAAUAAUAAGAAAAUGCGAAUUGCUCCAUUGUGCCAAAGUGCCUAAUUUCAAGUAACUUCCAAACGUUGUACUCACUUCAAAAAUGUCUUUUAUAAGAUUUAAUUUUGAUUGACUGGAAGAAUAGAUUCUAUCUAAACGUCAUAAAGUAUAAUUUCGUAUCCAGAUACAUCUACUUGAUGAAAGAUGACCACGACAAACAAGUACUUUGCAGUAUGAUUCCACGUUAAAACCAGGAUGCCCAUUUUGAUUAUUUCAUACAGUGCCUUUGAACUUAUUAAAAAAAAAAUGCAAAUUUUAACGGUGAUUGGUGCAGUUUGGGGGGUGGUAAGGGUGGGGCGUGGUCGCAGUAGACAACUCACCAUCAACACCCUGUCCCCAAUCUUCAGGUUGGUUGUUGCGGCAACACCGGUCGGUACGAUCUGGAAAUGAAAGAAAAUCAUUUGGUGAAUGACUGGACAGACUAUGUGGAUGACAAAAGUAGCUUUAGUGGGAGGGGUACUUUAAGUCUAACAACAAGUGAUUUUGUACGCUUGUAUGAGAGAAUUCAGCCGCCAGCGAUCCGGGGAAAUUGAUCGCUAGUAUCGGGCGAAUCCGCCGCCGCGGCUCACAGAUCUGGUGAUUGAACUUCUCUCGUACGAGGGUACAAAAUCGCCAAGUGUUACGUAGCCUUUAGUCUAUAGCUCGCACGUGUUCCAUGACUAGUCAGGUGAAAAAAUACUGCAAAUAAAUACACUACUUAAGUCCUUCUGAAUUUUCCAUUUUUUUGGGUUGCUGUUUAACUUCAGGGUGAUGAGGCAAUUAGCGUUAACUUUAAUUAAGCGGGUAAUAAACGCUUUCCCGGAUAAAUGUUAACUGCAGAUAUACCAGAAAAACACACUCUAAACGGAAUUUUUGAAGUGAGAACUUUGAAUCUAAAAACUAUAAACGCGUUCAAUUAUAACUAGUAGCAAACUCAAAGGGAAGGGAUCUUUGUGUCAUGUUUUCACAAGGCAUAAAGAGUUAGAUAUCUAAAGAUCCUCCUAGCAAAAUUAAAGGGAACGGAUCUUUGUGUCAUGUUUUUACAAGGCCCAAGGAGUUAGGUAUCUAUAGAUCCCUGUAGCAAACUCAAAGGGAACGGAUCUUUAUGCCAUGUUUUCACAAGGCCUAAGGAGUUUGAUGUUUAAACACCUCCGUGGCAAACCGACCGAUGAACACAUGAAUGUACUUGUUUUGCUUGUUUUUCUUGCUAUUGUUGGAAAUGAUCAAAUUGCCCCAACCAGUUAGUUAACAACAAAGAAAGAAAACAACGCGAUCCCACACAGCGACAAAGCACACGUGUAGCAUCUUUUACGCGAAGCUGACAAAAGAAACAAUAAUUUAGCAUACAAGACAUUUCGUUACACAAAGGUUCCCCUUCUUAAAGAAAAGCAGUAGCGGGGAUCACUUCUAUAACAAGAGCUUACUCCAAGUCAGAAAAGGUAUCUGGAAAGUUAAACAAGAAAAUAAAAAAGAAGAUAUAAAAGAAAAAAAGUAUUCCUUUUCUGUUAUGGUCGAAACAAUGACUGCUCAUUGUUUGCUAUCCCUUUAUCCUGAUAUUUUCACUAUUUGGUAUACUUAAUUAUUUUUUAGACUCAGUUGGAUAUCGGUGGCUUGGCCAACACAUUUCCAAAACAAAGUUCGAGCCGCGCACGAAAUGAUUAUAUACUUUUACCUGGAAAUAUAGGAAACCAUAAGUUCACAAAGAAAUGUCAAAAGUAUUUAUCUGCACAUUCUAACGUACCAUCAUAUUUUUUUGGAAAUAAAAACGUAAGAGAUAGGAGGCAACUUCGGUCAAGGGAUAUAACACACAAGAUGAAAUUAGACGAAUAAUCUUUGAUGAAAAAAAGAUAAUGGACUUUUCGUAGGUUUCACGAUGCACGAGUCGAUAAGCUGUUCUUGAAGAUAAAUGAAAGACUUCUUAAAACGCGACUGAGGACGAGGUCCAGGCGUACGUGACGCGUCCUGUGUGUUGUUUACGACUUGAUGAGUAGAGAUAACUUCCACAUCAACAUUCAAGACAGCAUUGAAUUAAAUUGAAAUCUUAAAAGCUUGAAACUUGUGCUAGAGUACUUACAAACAGGUUUUUGGGGAGAGUUGUAUCUGCAUUUAAAUUUGUUGUUAAAUUUGUUUUUUCUAAGAAUGCAUUGAUUGAGGUUGCUGGAGGGUCUAUCUAAUCAUCAAAGCAGAUAUCAAAACACUUUCAACAGCUGAAAGCAAUGUAUAAGCAUUGAGACGUGGUUUGGGCUAGAAAAGGUUUUGUUUGGUUUUGUAUUUUACGAGUAAUUCACGAAACACAUCACACAAACAACAAGCACUUCCUGAAAGUCGCGCGCCCGAAACUACCAUUGUUAAUCUUGUCUGGCGCCUAAAAGCAAACUAAAUUUACUAAUACAGAUGCAUUACCUCACUUCGACAAACAUCAGUAGCCACUUUAACCUUACACAGGUUCUCAUUUUUGUCUUGAACCACGCAGAAAAACAUGUUGGUUUGAAAGCCUCAGUCGGCUCGCCAUUCAAGGUUUGCCUAACGGAGCACUGAGUGAUUUGCAUGUGAAUGCUAACCCAAUACCCGACGUGACAACGGCCUGACAAGUAUGGAUUAACGGUUUGAAUUAUUCUCGUGAAAUAAGGCGCAUGUUUGACUGUAACUGGCUAGAGUAGGACAAGUCAGUGUGAUAAGAACUUAGGCUUAAUUUCCGUCCUUUGUGUAAAAGUGUUGGCUAUUGUGAAGGACACAAAUGAUCCGGAGCUGACAUGGUCCACUGGCCAGGAUGACAAAGUCAGGAUUUAGUUUGGAAUUACUGGUAUUCAGAAAUGUUUUAUUGCGAUUCUAAGCUGCUUCUCAGCACGGAAAAUAAUGCAAAAUAAAAUAAAAACCUAUCCAAAAACC